rnacentral:lncRNA from 1 species
GGGGUAUAAAGAACCAACCCCAACCACACUACAAGGCAGAAGGGGAGUGCAGUGGGAUAGGUGACUCUGCAGGCUUGUGGGGCUGGGAAGGGCCUCCAAGUGAGUAGCAGUUGACUUGAGACCUAGAGCAUAAAUAUGUUCAUGGGCAGUGGACAGGAAAGGUAUUCCAGGAUGAAAGGAAAGAAAGAACAAAGGUAUGAAGGAAGAGGAGUCAAGAAGGAAGUGAGGAGGCUGGAAAAGAUGUUAAAGAAUUUAAACAGUAUUCACUAAGCACCAGGAAACUAAUGACGGGUUUGAGAGGAGUGAGGAGAAUGGCAUGGUCAUAUCUGCUCAAGAACAGUGAGGAUGAUUGAUUAGGAGGGGAGGCAGUGAUCAAGGUAGAGUUAAGGAGAGCUUGAGCUCAGCAAGGUCUGAGUAAGGAAAACUGCAGAGACAAAAUGGUCAGAAUGGGGUCAUUGAUUGGAUUGGGAGAAGGAAAAUGUAAAGAUGAAGCUAUCUUAGGUUUCUCUCCCACAAUACCAGAAGAAUUGGCAUAAUGGAAACGGAGCUGAGUAUCACAAGCAAGUGGAGAGGCUUUUGGAGAAUGAAGAAAGAGAAGAUAAUUCCAGGCAGCAUUCACUGCACAGACGGCCUCUUAGAGCCUUUGCUGUAACU